UGUUUGCGUCACAAAAGUCUCCCAACUUGGGGCGAAUCUAAGCACCUUAAACUGGUCAUCGAACCGGAAGCGAUAGCAGCGUGCUCGGUGACGAGCAUGUAAACAAAUGUUAAUGUUUGCUGGAACAAUUAUUGGAGGAAUGCCGUCUGAAGAGGCUGUAGUUUGAUUUCAGGAUGUUGUGUGAAGUGCUUUUCUCAUCGCUAUGGUUCCUGUUCGUCAUCUUCUGGGUGGAGACCAUUAGUGUGUGGCUGUUUCUCUCCAUGUUCUACCAAGACAGAGCCUUCUACCAUUGGGGAGAUGGAGAAUUUUCAGAUGAUUCUGGCCAGCUGAUAUACAUGAUGAGCAGAAUGGAUACCCACAUGCAGUAAAAGAUGUAGACUAGGAGAACAUCAAGAACAUCUCCUGAAAGGACUCUUGUGAUGAAUGCGGUUGCAAAUGGGUCGCUCACCAUCAAAACAAAACAAAGUAACACUUGGAUUUGUUGUUGUGAACACUUUUUCAAGUGUUUUUUUUUUAAAUAUAAUUUUAUAUUUUAGAGAGCGAUGUUAACAUUUCACUGCUGUUCCUGCAUGAUAGCACGCAGAUGGACGCAGGCUAAACACAUGACAAUGUGAUCCCGACAAGCAGUCGUCAUUAAUAAUUUUUUGUCCAUGUGUUUAUUUUGGAAGUGCGACAUUUCAGUAAUUCCAUAAGGUGCAUGAACAUUAAAAGAGUUUAAUAACUUGUACAAAUGUAAAUGUAUGUAUUGAAGGUAACUUUCAAACAAUGCUGUAAUAGACUCUACAUGCAGUAGUAUCUUUAUUUCUUUUUAAAAAAAAAUAAUGUACAUCAUUCUAAUACAGUUAUGUGCAGUAAAGAAAAUAAAGGUGAUGUAUGCAGACUGAAAAAUGGCUGGAUAUAUUUAUGGAUUACAGCCAAAUCUUGUAUUUAAAUGCUUUAUUAUUUAACAUGACACCAGUUGUCUGUGUUGUAUGGCUCACCGCUUUUCACGGGAAACUCGUAUUUUGCCAUUUUUUCCUCCAUUUCAGUGGUUUCCUGUAUUUGAAACAACACAAAUCCUCUCUGUCUCUGUACUGUCUGGGAAAUGAUGUUGUCACGUCCAGCUUGCAGUGCAUCUUACCACCAGUAGAGGUCACCCUAGACAACAAAAGCAUAAAAUAAGCCUUGGAUAAACAUUUCAACGUUUACACGUCAAAUGUGGUUUAAUUUCAAUAAAUAACACAAAUGUUACAAAUAAUCUAAAAUUAAUGGUUCCAUUUUUUUGAAAUACAAGUAGAUAACAGUUUAAAUAAGUUUGUGUGUACUCUAUGGAGUUUUUAAACGAACGAUGAAGUCACGCAAGGCUAGUUGAAGACUGAUAUAGACAUCAAAUGUAUGCUAAAUCAACAACACCUAUAUAGUUUUUUGCUCAAAAUGUCGUGCAUGUUUUUCUUUUAGUUGCUUAAAACAGCACUACUUAGAACCCUUCGCGCUAAGUAGGAUACACCGGGAACGCCAUUAAAAUUGUAGUUGCACCACAAGCCCACCAGAGAGCGACAAAGAAACGUCAAUGACAUCACAAUGCUUCCAAUUGCGCUGCAGUUGUAUGGACGCCCUGACAGUAGAGCGGCAACAGAGGAAAAAAAGCCCCUUGCCCCUUUUCUCCAUGCAUGAUGAAAACAUGGUAAAAGUUGAGCCUGUAUUUUUAGCUUCCAGGUGGCUAGGAAGUGAGUCAUCUCUAGCUGCUUAUUAUUGGUGGAUAGGUCAUCUGAUAAAGUCUAUCUUCUUGUUAAGUCUUUUAACUCUAUAUGAUAUGUGUGGUUAUUAAGUAUUAGGGCCACAUUGAAAAAAAACACAAUGAGAGAAAAAGUUGUACAUUUCAGAGAAAAUUGUAAUAUUAUGAGAAUCAAGUAAUUCUAAAAAAGAAUGAAGUCGUAAUAUUACGUGUCAGAGGGAAAAUAGAGCAUAUCUGUUCAGAAAGGAAGAAAACUGAUUUAUUUAUAACGUGGCAGCAAAACAGAGCAGUCGACCAGCAGCUCUUCUCACUUCCGCCUUCCUGAACCCGCCCAAGGCCAAAGGCCACACUUUUCAUAGUUGUCUCAGUCAACGCCAGUAGUCAAAGUUUGUUUCUCGUAAAUCUAUUAUUUGAAUACUCCCAUCAUCACAGGCAUUGCUUGAGACAGCUAUGGUCACUUUUGUGACCUUUGGAGACUUUUUUUCCCCUAGAGAAAAAGCCGUAAAAUUUACCAGAAAGUCGUUCCUCGUAAAUUGACAACCUUAUUCUUGUAAAUAAAAAAAUAAAAAUAAAAUAAAUAAAAAUAAAUUAAUAAAAUAAAAUUUUAAAAAAACUUAAAUUAUAUUAUGAAAGCAGGAAGUGAACAAAUGUAACAGUUACUGAUUGUAAAAGUAGCAGAUGGAGGGGUAGGAUUUCAUAAGCUUUGCUUCUUUCUACUCCUUUUGGACAUGUGGA